rnacentral:tRNA from 1 species
GGGGGAGUAGCUCAGAUGGCUAGAGCGUUUGACUGGCAGUCAAGAGGUCGUGGGUUCGAUUCCCAUCUUCUCCACUA